UUAAUUGGGCUGCCCGUCAAAUCAGAACACUAUUUGGUUUUUAGUUUCUAAUUGGAGCUACAUAUCUCCAUUUUAGGUGUUGUUGGCUUGUUAGAAAGUUAAGGCUACCUAAAACUUUUAUGAAGAUAUCAAAACCCAGUUCUGCCGUUUAAAAGAUCAAAUCCUAUCAAAAGCAGAGAACUCCAAAUCUGUCCAGAAUUCACUACUGCCUGACUCAGCUUCUGUUUUUGGCCUGUAUCUGGAGUUCUAAAAGUCGAAAUAAAGCAAGCCCAGGUGCGUUGGAAAGCUGAGGACGAGAUCUAAAACUUUUGUGAGGUUGUGUCAUCAAAAUCUAGUUGGAAGCUAGGUAAUAAAAUCCGCCAAGAAUCCCGCAAUUUAAGAGCUGGAAAGAGGGAAGGAGAUUUGAUUAAGGGGAGAAAAGGAAUUGACGAAGGAUAUUGAAGGAAGAACUCCAACUUCUAGAGUUCUUUUUCUCUCUCAAUUUCUUUAAUUGUAGAAUGUUGAUUUGGAAUAAUUGGAUAAUUUUAUUAGUCAUAAUUUGCUAAGUUCCAUAUUCUAGGGUUAAGAUGCAGUCAUUGAAUUCUUUAUAUGAUUUGAUCAUGGUUGUAUUGACUAUUCUUGUUAAUUGCAAUUUGAUGAUUUUGGUGUUCA